UCAAGCUAAGAAGAGCGCAGGGCGAAUGCCUUGGCACUGGGAGCCGACGAAGGACGCGAUAAGCUGCGAUAAGCUGCGGGGAGGAGCAAAUAUCCAUUGAUCCGCAGAUUUCCGAAUGGAGAAAUCCGUAUGGAGAAGUCCAUACAUCAUAUACUGAAUUCAUAGGUAUAUGAGGGAAACCGCCUGAACUGAAACAUCUAAGUAGGGCGAGGAAAAGAAAUCAACCGAGAUACCGCAAGUAGUGGCGAGCGAACGCGGCAGAGGCCAAACCCGUAGUAGAAAUACUAUGGGGGUUGCGGACUGCAUUUAGCAUUGUUGAUCUUUAACCGAAGGGCAUGGGAAGGCCCACCGAAGAACGUGAGAGUCGUGUAGGUGAAAAGGAGAGACAGCGAGCAGGAUCCAGAGUACCGCGGGACACGAGGAAUCCCGUGGGAAGCCGGGGGGACCACCCUCCAAGCCUAAAUACUACCCAGUGACCGAUAGCGUAUAGUACUGUGAAGGAAAGGUGAAAAGGACCCCGGGAGGGGAGUGAAAUAGAACCUGAAACCCUGUGCUUACAAGCACCGAGAGCCCGUCAAUGGGUGAUCGGGUACUUUUUGUAGAACGGUCCGGCGAGUAUAUGGAACAAGCAAGGUUAAGGUCUUCAGGACCGAAGCCGAAGGGAAACCAAGUCUUAAUAGGGCGCACAGUUUGUUUCAUAUGACCCGAAACCGGGUGACCUAUCCAUGUCCAGGUUGAAGUGGCGGUAAAACGCCAUGGAGGACCGAACCAACCCCCGUUGAAAAGGUGGUGGAUGAGGUGUGGAUAGCGGAGAAAUUCCAAUCGAACUCGGAUAUAGCUGGUUCUCCCCGAAAUAGCUUUAGGGCUAGCGUUGUGUUAGAUUACCGGAGGUAAAGCACUGAAUAGGCUAGGGGGCGAGAGUCUACCGACCCUUAUCAAACUCUGAAUGCCGGAUAAUUGAUGCACAGCAGUCAGACAGUGUGAGAUAAGUUUCAUUGUCAAAAGGGAAACAGCCCAGACCCACAGCUAAGGUCCCAAAUGUAUGUUAAGUGGAAAAGGAUGUCCAGUUGCACAAACAACCAGGAUGUUGGCUUAGAAGCAGCCACACAUUCAAAGAGUGCGUAACAGCUCACUGGUCGAGUGACCGGGCGCCGAAAAUGUAACGGGGCUAAACAUACAACCGAAGCUUGGGCUGCACAGCAAUGUGCGGGGUAGGGGAGCGUUGUGUGCGGGGAGAAGCACGAGCGGAAGCGCGUGUGGACUGCACAGAAGUGAGAAUGCCGGAAUGAGUAGCGCGAAUUAUGUGAGAAUCAUAAUGGCCGAAAGCCUAAGGUUUCUGGAGGAAGGUUCGUCCGCUCCAGGUUAGCCGGGAGCUAAGGUGAGGCCGAAAGGCGUAGCCGAUGCACAUACGGUGGAGAUUCCGUAGCCAUCAAAAGAUUUAAGCAGAGGGACACAGUAGAAGGGUACAUGCCGGGCGUUGGUAGCCCCGGUUGCAAGGGACCGAAAUUAGAGUAGGGAAGAUGGACUUGGAUACUGGCGAGAAAAGCUCUGUGGAUAUCUGCGAUGCCCGUACCGCAAACCGACACAGGUAGGUAGGAAGAGGAUUCUAAGGCCAACGGGAGAAGGGUUGUUAAGGAACUCGGCAAGUUGACCCCGUAACUUCGGGAGAAGGGGUGCUCUGGAAACAGAGCCGCAGAGAAUAGGUCCAGGCAACUGUUUAGCAAAAACACAGCUCUCUGCUAAAUCGAAAGAUGAUGUAUAGGGGGUGACGCCUGCCCGGUGCUGGAAGGUUAAGAGGAGGAGUGAGAGCCCCGAAUCGAAGCCCCAGUAAACGGCGGCCGUAACUAUAACGGUCCUAAGGUAGCGAAAUUCCUUGUCAGGUAAGUUCUGACCCGCACGAAAGGCGUAAUGAUCUGGACACUGUCUCAACAGCCCACCCGGCGAAAUUGUAGUACCGGUGAAGAUGCCGGUUACCCGCGACAAGACGGAAAGACCCCAUGGAGCUUUACUGCAGCCUAAUAUUGGAUUUCGGUAUUUCAUGUACAGGAUAGGUGGGAGACUAGGAAACACAGGCGUCAGCUUGUGCGGAGUCGCCCUUGGGAUACCACCCUUGAAGUGCUGGAAUUCUAACCUGUGGCCAUGAAUCUGGUCAGGGGACAUUGUUAGGCGGGCAGUUUGACUGGGGCGGUCGCCUCCAAAAGAGUAACGGAGGCGCUCAAAGGUUUGCUCAGCAUGGCCGGAAACCAUGCCUUAGAGUGUAAACGCAAAAGCAAGCCUAACUGCGAGACCGACGGGUCGAGCAGAAACGAAAGUUGGAGUUAGUGAUCCGGUGGUAUGUGAGUGGAAAUGCCAUCGCUCAACGGAUAAAAGCUACCCUGGGGAUAACAGGCUGAUCUCCCCCAAGAGUCCACAUCGUCGGGGAGGUUUGGCACCUCGAUGUCGGCUCAUCGCAUCCUGGGGCUGUAUUCGGUCCCAAGGGUUUGGCUGUUCGCCAAUUAAAGCGGUACGCGAGCUGGGUUCAGAACGUCGUGAGACAGUUCGGUCCCUAUCUGUCGUGGGCGCAGGAUAUUUGAAAGGAGCUGUCCCUAGUACGAGAGGACCGGGAUGGACGCACCUCUGGUGCACCAGUUGUCACGCCAGUGGCACAGCUGGGCAGCUAUGUGCGGAUCGGAUAAACGCUGAAGGCAUCUAAGCGUGAAACCGGCCUUAAGAUAAGAUAUCCCACUGAGUCAAUCAGGUAAGACCCCUUGAAGACUACAAGGUAGAUAGGCACAAUGUGUAAGCAUGGUGACAUGUUAAGCUAGCGUGUACUAAUCGGUCGAGGGCUUGACCAA
rnacentral:rRNA from 1 species